GGCAGCAGGGUCCGCUCGGGGCUAUCCCUGGACCUUUGCCACAGGAUUAAGAAGGACAACUCAGAACCCACGCGCCCCGCUGCUCAGAGGCACAGGCAUGCAGUCAGGGUGUGCCCAAACACGGCUGGGCUCAGCCAGGCCCCGACAGGAGCCAACCCAUCCUCAGCCUGAACGCCUUGAGAAAUGCCCUGGGAAGGGCACGGCAUGCUGCAGAAAUGUCGUCUGGGCAAGACCUGGGCGGGGUGCACCAGGGACUCUCCCGCUCCCCUGGCCCUGGAGACUCCUCCUCAUCCGAGGGCAAAGGAACCAGCAGGCUAUCCCAGGGCAGAGCUGGAGGGCCCUAAGCAGCGUCUGGGAGCUCCCUAAGUGGGGCCCCAGCUGUCACCUGAGAAGCCAAGGAGCCUCAUCGUCACCAUGCACAUCACAAGAUCUAGAAGGACCCUUGAGGGUCCUAGCAAGGACUCAUUAAGAGGCCAUCACACACAGGACUGUUCUCAGUGCCACCGGGCAUGACGAGAAUCACUUGUCUGCCGGAGAGUGACCAUCUGUUGGGGAAAUGAGACACGUACUCGUCAAACCAUCAUUCAGCAUGACAAGAAUAUGGAGGCCAGAUGCUGCGAGAGGUCCAAAGACAAGGUCUUCCCGAGAGUGCCUGGUUUCCAAAGUGUGUCACCAGUAAAGAAUGGACUCUGCUUGGCUCCAUCCAUCCUCAGACAGCAGAAGCCACGGGACGUCAAGGGAGCUGGGCUCUCCCCUUAGCCAUGACCGUGGAGAGCAGGGACUGGAACCCUGGUUUCUGAUCCCUUCAGGCUGCCUUUGCCCUGGGAGCUGACCGUGGAAAGUGCAGGUCGCGAUGCCCGGUGCCAUGGUAACACCAGCCCUAGGGGGCUGUGUGUGAAGGCGCACGCCUCGGACAGUCAGAAGCUUGGGUUCCAACGCCCCUGGGAGUUGUCCCAGGGGGAGAGGAUUCCAGGCCUAACAAGAUGACCUCCCUGUCUUGCAAGUUUCUCUGCGUCCUUCAGACUACCUGCUUUGCUAAAGCCUUCUCACAGAUAACCUUCUGACGACAAAACCUGGAUAAGGCACGUGCUGAGCGAGCUCUGUGUCCUCGAGCCUCACCAGGCUUGGCCACCCCCGGGUCCAGCGUCUUCUCUCCAUGUGUCUCUGUGUGUUUCUUGAUCCUCCAUCACCCCUGGGUUCCUGAACCAGCGGCCGUGCUGGUUGCAGCAGUUAGGGCCCCAACAGGGACUGGAUCCAGGGCUACUUCUUCGUUGGAUUCAGAUGGAGGACCCUCUGAAGGCAGGCAUCGGUUAAAGACGAGGAGCACACGUUUCCAGCCAGGUGUCAGACACGGGAAAGCUGGAUCCAGGGACAGGGCUCCCCAUGUCGCCACUUUAAAGUCACGCUUAAGUCACAGGCAGCCCCGUAGAGAAGGUGCAGCUGUCACCGGGUUUGGAAUUUGUUCCUGAAACCUGUCCUGGGUUCCCUGAGGAGGGAACAGUACACACAGAGACGUGGGGAGACUUGUGAAGAGCCACAUGCUAGGUGUGCCGCUGAGGACCGGGAGAGGCACCCACAGCGCCUCUCCCUUCGCGGUCUCGACCCACCGUAGGAGGUGUGCACUGGCAGGCUCCUGACACGAUUCCUGGCUUCCCAAAAUGCCAGGAAGACCGUGAACAUUCAACACGUCCUCUGCCAACCGCAGCGUUCCUCCCCGCAGGGCCUUACCUUAUGAGAAGGAACAGGACCUGGAGGAGGACGCCGCCCCAGAGAGCCGCGCGGGGGACGGGAGAGCAUCGCAG
rnacentral:lncRNA from 1 species